rnacentral:rRNA from 1 species
UACGGGGGGGGCAAGCGUUGUUCGGAAUUACUGGGCGUAAAGGGCUCGUAGGCGGCCAACUAAGUCAGACGUGAAAUCCCUCGGCUUAACCGGGGAACUGCGUCUGAUACUGGAUGGCUUGAGUUCGGUAGGGGAGAUCGGAAUUCCUGGUGUAGCGGUGAAAUGCGCAGAUAUCAGGAGGAACACCGGUGGCGAAGGCGGAUCUCUGGGCCGAUACUGACGCUGAGGAGCGAAAGCGUGGGGAGCGAACAGG